rnacentral:rRNA from 1 species
AUUGAACGCUGGCGGCAUGCCUUACACAUGCAAGUCGAACGGCAGCGGGGGAGAAGCUUGCUUUUCCUGCCGGCGAGUGGCGAACGGGUGAGUAAUACAUCGGAACGUGCCCUGUAGUGGGGGAUAACUAGUCGAAAGAUUAGCUAAUACCGCAUACGACCUGAGGGUGAAAGUGGGGGACCGCAAGGCCUCAUGCUAUAGGAGCGGCCGAUGUCUGAUUAGCUAGUUGGUGGGGUAAAGGCCUACCAAGGCGGCGAUCAGUAGCUGGUCUGAGAGGACGAUCAGCCACACUGGGACUGAGACACGGCCCAGACUCCUACGGGAGGCAGCAGUGGGGAAUUUUGGACAAUGGGCGAAAGCCUGAUCCAGCAAUGCCGCGUGUGUGAAGAAGGCCUUCGGGUUGUAAAGCACUUUUGUCCGGAAGGAAAUGGCUCUGGUUAAUACCUGGGGUCGAUGACGGUACCGGAAGAAUAAGGACCGGCUAACUACGUGCCAGCCGCCGCCGUAA